AUUGUAUUUUGAGAGCGGAUUAAAGUCUGUUGGAACACAGCGCCUUAGAGGGUGACAGCCCCGUAAAAUCUAUUCUCAUUGUAAGAUACUUUCGAAGAGUCGAGUUGUUUGGGAAUGCAGCUCUAAGUGGGAGGUAAAUUCCUUCUAAAGCUAAAUAUUGACGAGAGACCGAUAGCGAACAAGUACUGUGAAGGAAAGAUGAAAAGCACUUUGAAAAGAGAGUGAAAAAGUACGUGAAAUUGUUAAAAGGGAAGGGUAUUGAAUCAGACUUGGUGCUGUUGUUCAACUGUGUUUCGGCAUAGUGUACUCAGCAGUACUAGGCCAAGGUGGGGUGUUUGGGAGUGAAAAAGAAGUAGGAAGGUAGCUCUUCGGAGUGUUAUAGACUACUUUCAUAGCUCCUUAGGCGCCUCAGGACUGCGCUUCGGCAAGGACCUUGGCAUAAUGAUUCUAUAC
rnacentral:rRNA from 1 species